rnacentral:tRNA from 1 species
GCCUGGCUGGCUCAGUUGGUAGGGCACGUGACUCUUGAUCUCAGGGUCAUGAGUUUGAGUCCCAUGUUGGGCA